rnacentral:rRNA from 1 species
AACGAACGCUGGCGGCAUGCCUAACACAUGCAAGUCGAACGAGACCUUCGGGUCUAGUGGCGCACGGGUGCGUAACGCGUGGGAACCUGCCCUUAGGUUCGGAAUAACUCCCCGAAAGGGGUGCUAAUACCGGAUAAUGUCUUCGGACCAAAGAUUUAUCGCCUUUGGAUGGGCCCGCGUUGGAUUAGCUAGUUGGUAGGGUAAAAGCCUACCAAGGCGACGAUCCAUAGCUGGUCUGAGAGGAUGAUCAGCCACACUGGGACUGAGACACGGCCCAGACUCCUACGGGAGGCAGCAGUGGGGAAUAUUGGACAAUGGGCGAAAGCCUGAUCCAGCAAUGCCGAGUGAGUGAUGGAGGCCUUAGGGUUGUAAAGCUCUUUUACCCGGGAUGAUAAUGACAGUACCGGGAGAAUAAGCUCCGGCUAACUCCGUG